UACGGGGGGGGCAAGCGUUGUUCGGAAUUACUGGGCGUAAAGAGCGUGUAGGCGGCCAGAUAGGUCCGUUGUGAAAACUCGAGGCUCAACCUCGAGACGCCGAUGGAAACCAUUUGGCUAGAGUCCGGAAGAGGAGAGUGGAAUUCCCGGUGUAGCGGUGAAAUGCGCAGAUAUCAGGAGGAACACCGGUGGCGAAGGCGGGUCUCUGGGCCGAUACUGACGCUGAGGAGCGAAAGCGUGGGGAGCGAACAGG
rnacentral:rRNA from 1 species